ACCAGCCGCCGUCAGCCUGCGGGAGGCGAGCCGUGGCUCAGGAAGUUCGUCGAUGUUCUGAUCCAUGGAACAGGAAAAACACUUUCCUCGUUGGUAGUAGUAACUACGAGGUGGAGGAGUGGGAGUGCUCUGCUUCCUGUAGGCACUCCAUCGUACCAUUAGCGAGGUCGGGUCUCCUGGGAUCUCAGCCACCGUGGGAAUGGGCCGUCGCCGAUGAGCAGGAGAUAGAAUUCCUGAUGCAGCCAAUUAAAAGAUUCACGGUGCUUGAGGAGGUCAAUGAUAGCGAUGUCCCGAUGGCGCCGCUGCAUUAGCCCGUCGCCGGCGUCGGCGAGCUGCAGCACGCGGCGGCCCCAGAGCUGAGCAGGGACGGACAAAUCUGUGCGACCCAAGUAGUGGUGGCGGCAGACUGGCAGAAAGGGAAAUUUCACCCCAAAAGGCUUGAUUAAUGAACCUAGAAAAUCCCUCGAAUUGGAUCCCACUAAGCGUCCGAGCUCUCCACCGGCAAGAUGAACCCACAGUUUACUGGAUGGGCUCGUAGGUACCAAAUUCGAAAGAAGCAGUACAAGUGUACAGCUAGAGAAGUUCCCGAAACAAUUGUAGCUAUUGAAACAGUGACCCAAGGUGCUGUAGCUCAAGCUAACUAGCAUGCAAGGCCGACAAAUGUGGCGUCAUGGCAACAGAUGUGUCAACAAAAAGAAUUGAAAAUGAUGGAAGAGAGUCCAGUUCUUGAGGACUGUGCAACACAUUCCAGCAUCAGACAGCUCCGAUGACAUGAAGAUGAGAGCGUCGAUGAGGCACAAAUACCAGUGUCUGCAUUCCAGAAUGAUACAUCAUCUGCUGGUAAUGGGGGGAUUUUUGCAAUAGAUAUGUGGAAGUAGAUCUACGGGUUAAUUGCUCUAACAAGGAAUAUGACUGAUGAUGACGCAAUGCUUGAUAGGUAAUCGAAGCACAGAUUGUCGGAGGGGGACAGGUCUAGUGUCCGAACUGAUGUCGAGGAACCUAAGGUUGCAAGUUGGUAUGGUGAGGACAAUUGUGUAAGGUGAUAUGGGGGAUAAAUUCUGAUGGAAAGCCGAUUUUGAAGCAUGAAGAGCCAAAUGCAGGAGAGGUGACGAUUUUCUAUGACAAAUCCUGUCAUGUACCAACAUGGAUCUUAGCAAGAUAUGGUUCAAGCACAUGGUUCCAACAUUCGCUUUGCUGACGGGAGAGGACUACAUCAAGGAGUUUGGACAAUUACAUUAGUCUUGGUUAACAACUUAAACCGAUCCGACAUCACUAUCUUAGGAGGUCAAUUGCAUAUGAGGUGAUCUCGAUGAGAGGUAACAUGGGUGAGUUGCCAUGAGAGGUAACAUGGGUGAGUUGCCCAACUUCAUGAUCGAGAAAGUCUUCUUCUGAUGUGGGAGUGCUGAUUUGGUACCAUGUGGUUGCUUUUGGGUGGGACUUUUUUUUUGUGCGAGUGAAUUAAUGUGCUUCUAUUACUCAGUGAUAAGUUUUUGGUUGGAACCUGAAGCUGUGCCUACGGUUCGCGGGUACUUGUUACUUGUUAGCUUUCAUCCCAGUUUCUGAUGUGGUUGUGCUUGUAAUCCCAUUGUGUGGUAGCCUACCAUUAUGUAUGUGUUAAAUCUGAACCACUAUUUUGAGCCAGCUGUGACAUGUUAGCAUCCAUCCCGCUUGAGUAGUGUGGAAGUGCUUGUGGUCACACUGUGCCGAGACUUCAUGAACUAGUGUCUGUGAGACUAUGAUCUGAACAAGCGAUGCUGCAAUUACUAUUUGCUUGUGUUAGUACGUACCUACUUUUUAGCUAUGAAUAAAAAGAAUUUGCAUUAGUACUUGCGACGACAACUUGUGAUGCAUAGUGCGACCUGAAAAAGUUGUUCGCCAUGUCCGGCAGCGGUCAUGAUCUAUU